AGAGUUUGAUCCUGGCUCAGAUUGAACGCUGGCGGCAGGCCUAACACAUGCAAGUCGAACGGUAACAGGAAUCAGCUUGCUGAUUCGCUGACGAGUGGCGGACGGGUGAGUAAUGUCUGGGAAACUGCCUGAUGGAGGGGGAUAACUACUGGAAACGGUAGCUAAUACCGCAUAACGUCGCAAGACCAAAGAGGGGGACCUUCGGGCCUCUUGCCAUCGGAUGUGCCCAGAUGGGAUUAGCUAGUAGGUGGGGUAACGGCUCACCUAGGCGACGAUCCCUAGCUGGUCUGAGAGGAUGACCAGCCACACUGGAACUGAGACACGGUCCAGACUCCUACGGGAGGCAGCAGUGGGGAAUAUUGCACAAUGGGCGCAAGCCUGAUGCAGCCAUGCCGCGUGUAUGAAGAAGGCCUUCGGGUUGUAAAGUACUUUCAGCGGGGAGGAAGGGAGUAAAGUUAAUACCUUUGCUCAUUGACGUUACCCGCAGAAGAAGCACCG
rnacentral:rRNA from 1 species